rnacentral:rRNA from 1 species
UUUAAUUGAAGAGUUUGAUCAUGGCUCAGAUUGAACGCUGGCGGCAGGCCUAACACAUGCAAGUCGAGCGGCAGCGGGGGGAAGCUUGCUUCCUCGCCGGCGAGCGGCGGACGGGUGAGUAAUGUCUGGGAAACUGCCCGAUGGAGGGGGAUAACUACUGGAAACGGUAGCUAAUACCGCAUAACGUCUACGGACCAAAGUGGGGGACCUUCGGGCCUCACACCAUCGGAUGUGCCCAGAUGGGAUUAGCUAGUAGGUGGGGUAAUGGCUCACCUAGGCGACGAUCCCUAGCUGGUCUGAGAGGAUGACCAGCCACACUGGAACUGAGACACGGUCCAGACUCCUACGGGAGGCAGCAGUGGGGAAUAUUGCACAAUGGGCGCAAGCCUGAUGCAGCCAUGCCGCGUGUGUGAAGAAGGCCUUCGGGUUGUAAAGCACUUUCAGCGAGGAGGAAGGGGUGA